CGUCAAGUCCUCAUGGCCCUUAUAGGUGGGGCUACACACGUCAUACAAUGGCUGGUACAAAGGGUAGCCAACCCGCGAAGGGGAGCCAAUCCCGUAAAACCAGUCGUAGUCCGGAUCGCAGUCUGCAACUCGACUGCGUGAAGUCGGAAUCGCUAGUAAUCGUGGAUCAGCAUGUCACGGUGAAUACGUUCCCGGGUCUU
rnacentral:rRNA from 1 species